CGCGUAGGCGGGAUCGCAAGUCAGAUGUGAAAUGUCGGGGCUUAACCCUGGAACUGCAUUUGAAACUGUGAUUCUUGAGUAUCGGAGAGGCAGGCGGAAUUCCAAGUGUAGCGGUGAAAUGCGUAGAUAUUUGGAGGAACACCAGUGGCGAAGGCGGCCUGCUGGACGACAACUGACGCUGAGGCGCGAAAGCGUGGGGAGCAAACAG
rnacentral:rRNA from 1 species